GAUGAACGCUGGCGGCGUGCCUAAUACAUGCAAGUCGAGCGAACAGACGAGGAGCUUGCUCCUCUGACGUUAGCGGCGGACGGGUGAGUAACACGUGGAUAACCUACCUAUAAGACUGGGAUAACUUCGGGAAACCGGAGCUAAUACCGGAUAAUAUAUUGAACCGCAUGGUUCAAUAGUGAAAGACGGUUUUGCUGUCACUUAUAGAUGGAUCCGCGCCGCAUUAGCUAGUUGGUAAGGUAACGGCUUACCAAGGCAACCAUGCGUAGCCGACCUGAGAGGGUGAUCGGCCACACUGGAACUGAGACACGGUCCAGACUCCUACGGGAGGCAGCAGUAGGGAAUCUUCCGCAAUGGGCGAAAGCCUGACGGAGCAACGCCGCGUGAGUGAUGAAGGUCUUCGGAUCGUAAAACUCUGUUAUUAGGGAAGAACAAAUGUGUAAGUAACUGUGCACGUCUUGACGGUACCUAAUCAGAAAGCCACGGCUAACUACGUG
rnacentral:rRNA from 1 species